AUUGAACGCUGGCGGCAGGCCUAACACAUGCAAGUCGAACGAGUGGCGGACGGGUGAGUAAUGUCUGGGAAACUGCCCGAUGGAGGGGGAUAACUACUGGAAACGGUAGCUAAUACCGCAUACCAUCGGAUGUGCCCAGAUGGGAUUAGAUAGUAGGUGGGGUAAUGGUUCACCUCGGCGACGAUCCCUCGCUGGUCUGAGAGGAUGACCAGCGAAACAGGACCAGAGACACGGUCCAGACUCCAGCGGGAGUGAGCAGUGGGGAAUGUUGCACGAUGGGCGCAAGCCUGAUGAAGCCAUACCGCGUGUAUGAAGAAGGCCUGCGGGUUGUAAAGUACUUUAAACGGGGGGGCGUUACCCACAGAAGAGGCACCGGCGAGCUCCGUGCCAGCAGCCGCGGUAAUGC
rnacentral:rRNA from 1 species